rnacentral:tRNA from 2 species
UUCCCGUUAACUCAGUGGUCAGAGUAGUGUGCUUAUGAGGUUGCAAGUGAUUCUCACACCGGUCGUGGGUUCAACUCCCACACGGGAAA